rnacentral:lncRNA from 1 species
AGUCAAAAGAGCGAACGGAACAAAAUGAGAGAAUGAAAAGAGGGAAAAAGGAGGAGGAAGAGAAGAGCCUGGAGGAAGAUUUAUAUCUGCUGUGAGAUCAGCUGAUAUUCUCCCUCUCUCUCCCUCCCUCUCUCUCUCUCAGCUCAGACAGAAGCAACACACUCUAAUGUUACUAUUUCUGACAAGCUGCGCCUCACACACAUUCACACACUCAACACACACACUCCUGCCGCAUGCACGACUGCACACAAAUACACAAAACCACACACUCUCUCUCUCUCUCUCUCUCUCUCUCUCUCACACACACACACACAAAGACAUCCGCUGGAUACUGGCACACGCUGAAGAGGAAUCAGAAACAUAGCGACACAGAAGGGCUAGCAGGCAGACAGGCAGGCGGAAACACAAUCCCUGUACUGGACUGGACUGGGAGAGACUACACUGGGAGGCAGAUGUACUGUACUGGGAUAUAUUUAUACUGGGGAGGCUAACCUCGUCAUGGCAACAAACCGACCUCUCUAAGGAUUAAACUUCUCUUCCUCCAAAGGACUUCAUCCUCCUUCCUCCUCAUCUCCUCAUUCAUUUUUCACCAUCCUUUUUCUCUACAAUCGUUCCUUUUUAAAUGUGAUUGGUUGUUGCUGCCGGCCGGAGAUCGAUGUGAGGAUUAUACCAACAGCUCUUUCUCUCCGUUUCUUUAUGUUAGGAUAGAUUUUUUUGUGUCCGUUUUGGUUUUGGCGUUGGGGUUGGUGGUGGGUGGCUGGUAUUUUGGAAGGGCGGAGUAUCUCCUCCUUACCCCUUUCCCCAGGAGGAGGCUGGCAUCGGGGCUUCCUGAUGCCAGGGCUCGUCUAGAGAGGGUGGACGCGGGACGCUCCGACAUGCCCCACCCCCUUCCCUCUGCCGGGCCCCCUGAUUGGCGGAGCCAGGGGAGGACCUCGCACACAACCAAACCAACCAGACCUGGUGAGUCGAUCAUAGAGACAUGGGGGACACUAAUAGGAAUAGACGAGACGAGUAGAACCCAGAGCUUGAGAGAUGAGGAGAUUAUAUUAAAUUAAUUUAAAGUAAAUGGCAAAGCGCACACACACACACAAACACACACACACACACACACACACACACACACACACACACACACACACACACACACACACACAAAUGAGUGAGGAGAAAUGCUAAGAAAUGCUGAGGGAUAUCUAGAACAAGACCAACACUGAAGGGAGCAGCCGUAACAAGCCUGAACAGGAGGAAUGUGUGUGUGUGUGUGUGUAUAUGUGUGUGUGUGUGUGUGU